GACGAACGCUGGCGGCGUGCCUAAUACAUGCCAGUAGAACGCUGAAGGAGGGGCUUGCUUCUCUGGAUGAGUUGCGAACGGGUGAGUAACGCGUAGGUAACCUGCCUGGUAGCGGGGGAUAACUAUUGGAAACGAUAGCUAAUACCGCAUAAUAGCAGUUGUUGCAUGACAACUGUUUGAAAGGUGCAAUUGCACCACUACCAGAUGGACCUGCGUUGUAUUAGCUAGUUGGUGGGGUAACGGCUCACCAAGGCGACGAUACAUAGCCGACCUGAGAGGGUGAUCGGCCACACUGGGACUGAGACACGGCCCAGACUCCUACGGGAGGCAGCAGUAGGGAAUCUUCGGCAAUGGACGGAAGUCUGACCGAGCAACGCCGCGUGAGUGAAGAAGGUUUUCGGAUCGUAAAGCUCUGUUGUAAGAGAAGAACGAGUGUGAGAGUGGAAAGUUCACACUGUGACGGUAUCUUACCAGAAAGGGACGGCUAACUACGUG
rnacentral:rRNA from 1 species